rnacentral:tRNA from 1 species
CAGGCCGUAGCUCAGCUGGGAGAGCGCCAGCUUUGCAAGCUGGAAGUCAGGGGUUCGAGUCCCCUCGGCUCCA